rnacentral:lncRNA from 1 species
CCAGAAACUGAUCUUCUGGAACAAGCGCAGAAUCAUCAAGCCUCUGCCUCUUGGGCUCUGGCUCAUCUGGAAGUGGAGGAGGAGCAUCCUCAGGUGGAGGUGGUGGAGGCAUUCCUUGAGGCAAAGGAGGUGGUGGAGGCAUCAUAGGCAAUCCGGGUUGGGGUACAGGAAGAGGGACAAAAGGUCGAGGAACUGCCAUAGAAUUAUAUUGAGAUCCAGGUGGAGGCGG